rnacentral:lncRNA from 1 species
CCUCUGCAGCCGGAGGUGACCGCCGAGGCAGAGCCGCAGGAGGCGGCUGGCGACGACAGGGGAGAUGGACAGUACUCACAUACAAAUGAGAGCUUUGCCUCCGGGCGCGCACAAUUGGAUGGAGAGCGGACGCCGAGGCAGAAAUUCAUUUCCCCAGAGAAGGAGAGAAGUGCGCCGCGAGCUCAGGGUCACACCAGAACAGAGACACAGCCAGAGAGGGAACACAAGCAGGGGGAAGUGCAAGAGGGAGAAGUAGGCUUCUCGCUGAGCAAGGAGCCGGACGUGGGACUCAAUCCUAUACUCUGGGAUCAUGAUCUGAGCUGAAGGCAGACACCCAAUGACUGAGCCACCCAGAUGCCCUGAAUGCUUUUUUAAAUGGUCAUGAGUUGCUGCUUUGACUGGCUGAGAAUAAAGGUAGGUGGUUCCCACCACAAAAUUGCUUUUCCUGUACGAUUCAUAUUCAU